CUUAGACCUCAGAACAAGGAUGUCUCUGGUACACAUUCCCAUCUUGUACAUUCGUUUGGGACGCCCACUUAACUGAACCUUUCCAAAUCUUAGUGUUCUCAUCUGUAGGCGAAGACGGAGCGUGUGUCUCAUGGGAUUUGUUUCAUGAGCACUAAGCGACUGGCAUGAAGAACAGGGCUAGUGCUGUGUCACAAACGUGCAGUCGAUAAAUGGUGGCGGCGAUGGUGAUGAUGACGAUGGUGACGACAAAGCCUUAUUUAGGCCUGAAGCGGAGGCUGCUCGCUUUCCCGAGGCAAAGUUGCAGCCACCAUUGAAAUGAACCUACGUGGAGAAGACACAGGCUAGGGCUGCAGUUUUCAUAAAAUCCUUCGAAAGACGUUUUCGUGGCUUGGACCUUGUAAGAGGCCGGGCAGGUCUCAAGGCCAUAUAUUCCUGAUAUAUUCCAAAUUAACUUCCGCUGGCUUCCCUCAUACUCUGCACUGCAGACCAAGCCGAAGCGUGCAGAAGGGUCCACCGCCGUGCUCCAGUCCACGUCCUCCACAAAUCCUGAUUCAGUGAUCUUUUUAAACUGAAAAGGUAUGUAUGAUAACAAUUUUUGUAAGUUGAAUUUGAUUUUAAUAACCUCCACUUUCACU
rnacentral:lncRNA from 1 species